rnacentral:rRNA from 1 species
UACGUAGGGGGCAAGCGUUAUCCGGAAUCAUUGGGCGUAAAGAGCGUGUAGGCGGCUUGGCAAGUCCGCUGUGAAAGUCCAGGGCUCAACCCUGGAAUGCCGGUGGAAACUGUCAAGCUUGAGUCCGGAAGAGGCGAGUGGAAUUCCUGGUGUAGCGGUGAAAUGCGCAGAUAUCAGGAGGAACACCAAUGGCGAAGGCAGCUCGCUGGGACGGUACUGACGCUGAGACGCGAAAGCGUGGGGAGCAAACAGG